CAGAUGUUCAUGAGGGAUCAGCCUGUUCUCAUCUGUUUCACUCCUGUUGGGAGGAUGGUGUGGGAGGAACUGUCUUCUCAAACUGAACAGCCAAAUAGUGAAGACUCUGGUUUUCCCUAUGAGAAGAUGCAGCUGGUUGGGAACUGGGGUUCAUUUCAUUUCCAUACCUGGAUAAUCCGUUAUGGACGAGUGCAGCAAAAUGAAGAGGACAUGCAUCACCUGUGCAUUGUGAGGGGAGUGGAGAAACAGCUGUGGUGGAGCAGAG